CCCUUCCCGGUACAGGACCCCCACCUUCGCUCCUGGGAGCCCCGCUGCACCCCAGGAGUUCCAUUCCAGCCUCCCCAGUGCGAGUGCGGCCGAGCGCUGACUUUUGGGGGCUCCCUCCCCCGUCUCACUGGGUCCCUCUGCGGCUCCCCCGCCCGCUGUCCCGGUUCAGACGUGGCUGCACCCCGGAGGGGGGCGCCGGCCGAGACCUGAGACGUGGCGCUCCCUCUCUGCCGGCCUCGGCUUCAGGUACGUGCGGUUCCCUCGGCUAAAUCUGGCCCGGGGGAUGGGGGGCAGGGGCCGUCUGGUCCUCCGGAACUCGAACUUUGUGAUUUUGUUCUUUCUGUGUGACAUCCUCAUCCGUUCUGAGGGAGAAACUCCUUAAAGAAGACGAGAGAGUCAGUCGUUGCGGGUUCUUGGAGGAGCACUUUGGGGGUGAGACUCCCGGCUAGUUCGGGUCGAUUUCAGCGGGAUUAAGUCAAGGAAAUGAACAAAUCUGACGAAUCAGGGAGGCCAGAGAAGGCGUCCCCAGGUAGCCACGCUGAGCGUUAAGAGAGAAGUCCCGUAUGGUCAAAGUCAUUCGUCCAAUUCUGUGUCAAUUAUUCCUUGUUGCACUUUUGCAGGAUCCUUGGGCCUUACUAAGUACUCAGGUGAAAAGUUGAUAAUUGGGAAGCAAGUAAAGUACCUUUGAAGACGUGUAUAAUUGGACACUUUGUUGCAGUUCUUCAGUUUCUGGAGGAGGCGGUGGGGGGGGAGAGGGAGGGGGUCAGCCUCGCGAAAAGAGCAAAUGGUAAAGUUAUAGGAGUAUAAGGCAUAAAACUUGGGUUGGGAGUCCUGACUGGCCUUGAGUGGCCCUUUCCCACUGGAUGGGGGUGCGGGACAGUAUCUCUGGGCCCUUUUUACUCAGUCUGCGCCUCAGAGGGAGGCUUGAAGGUCCCCUGCAUGAGGAAAUGUGUGAAUUGCCCCCUCCUGACCGCAGUGAGGUAGGGACCCCCGCAAGGACCCACGUUCACACCAGCGCCCUUCCAGCCAGUGGUGGGGUAUGGAUGGGCCUCGCUGGUCCUGGGCAUGGUCCGGUGCGUCCAUAAGGGUUCCAUUGAGCUCAUCCAUAAAACAAAGAAGCUAUUGCAGGCUGCAGGGUGUCAUAGCUCGCACAGUAGCCAUGCAGACCUAAGAGGACAAUGGAAAUACAAAUUGCUAUCGAUGUGUCUUUAUUUUCUAGAACUUUUUUUUAAAAUAAAAGAAUUAAGUGAAAGCAAUUCCGAAGGUUUCUAUGAAAGCCCAGCCCAUCCCCAAAUGCCCAGUCUCUGGCACGGGUGAUCUGGCUGUCUUGGGUACUCAGGCCUUACUGGGAUUUCCUUUAAGACCUCUGGGAGGAAGUGUCAGUAGCUGGGCAGGCCUUCUUGGCAAGCAUUCCUCCCUGGGUUGUGGCGGGGGCUCCCGGCCUGCUGUGUGGCAGCUGCAGGCUCCUGGGGACCUGAAGGAAAAGCUUAACCGUUCUCCCUUCCCUUGCUUGGCACUUAGAGCACUAGUUCCAUUCCAGACAUUCCGAUUAUCUUGCCUACGUGGCACAGAGGCCUAGGAGCCUCCCUGGGAGGAAGAGGCAGGCCAAGGUCUUGCCUGGCUGCUUCUAGGGGGAAAGAUGUAGGGAGGAAGCUGCCUUAUGCUUGGAUCUGCAGCCUUUGCCUGGACCUGUGGAGCCUACGUGGCCAGGGUGAGGGAGACAGAAAUUAGAACCCAAUGUAUUCAGCUAAUCCUCUUCUUGCCUCUGAACAUUGCCGUUAAUACUUGAAAAGAAAAAAAAAAAGCAAAAAAACUCUUGGCAUAUAGAGCUAAGCAGUGGGAAGAAGAUAGCUUUCUAAACCAUGACCCAAUAGGUCUGAUAACAUAACAUUUAACUGGAUAAAUUACAUAAUUUUGUAUAUAUGUAGGGGGGAGUUGAAUUCAGUUUUGCUGUUUACAGGCUGCACCAAUGCAUUGUUAAAAGAUGUAUAUUUUAGUGAUAAUUGUGAUUAAUUACAAAAUAAUUGCUAAUAAGCAGGUAAAUAAACCAAAUUAUAAUUUAGAGUGCAUCCUUUGUUUAAAGUGAAAUGGAUCUAAAUUGAGGAUAUAAUUUUGAGUUUUAAUCUGGGGAAAGUUCUUUAACUUUUCUGAGCUACAGUCUCUUCACCUGGAGCUUAGACACACCAGCCUGGCAGGGGUAUGUCAGCUGUCUGCUUGAAAGGAGAAAGACAGUAAUCUGUGUGAAAUACUCACCGAGCACCCAACAUAUAAGCAGGCUCUUCAUAAAGUCAUUUUGAGGUAUCCACAAGUAUUUCUUUUUUCUAAACAAAAUUUCUUUGUUUUUUGUUUGUUUUGCUUUGCAAAGGUCUUGCUUGCUAGAAAGCUAUCUGCAUUAAGCUGCUUCUCAUCACAUUAUAAAACUAAGGAUGAUCAUUUUUAAACAAACAAAAGUAUUUAGUUAUCUUUUCAAAGUAAAAUAUAGCUUUCCCUAAACUGUUUUAGGUGAGCCAUGCACACAAUGUGAAAGAAUGAAGAAACCAACAAAACACUUGGUGAAAAUGAUGAAUUCUGGGGCGCUGAUUCAUGUGACUUGAAAAAUGCCAUCCAUUUCCUGAUUCACCUCAAUUCUGUUCGGAACUAUGAAAGAUCAUUUAUGUUUCUGCACUAAUUGACCAAUUUUGUCUUGUCUUUACUUCCCUCCCUAGUGCUUGAAUUUCAGCCACAUCCCUAAGCUGCCAUCUCAGACCAGAGGAACAGGGAGGGGGGCUUUCUGGAAAGAACAUCACCUGGAAGAAAUCAGGACAUGACUGUGGGCCAUGAGUGACCUUCAAAGGAAAGCCGGGUAUCUGUGGUCUUUAAGAUGUGGUAAGAUUGUAUUAAAAUUAUAGAAAAAAACCUCAAUCCAGAAAUCGUGGCCUCUUGACAUUUACAUCUUAACUGCAUUUUCCUACCAAUGAGAUGCAUUACAAUCAUCCUCCAUAAGUGUUCUCUUUUUACCCCUGUUUCCAUUCUUUUAGAUCCAUGACAUUUAAAAACUGAAGAAAUGGAAAGAUCAUCUGAUCAGGCCCAUCAGUCUUUUUCCUAAUGCUAAACAUUGGUACAAAGACGUGAAGUUUGAUGUCUCACUAAGAUUGCCUAGGGCUGCUUUAUUGCUCACCUACUUCAAAGUAUUGGGAAAACAUGAUUAUGGGUACAGGUGAUGCUGUGUUGCCCCCAGACAGGUUUCUUUUGUCAGGUUCUUUUGAUGGAUUAGGAACCUACAAGUGGGGAGAUUUUAGGGAAAUAGCCCCUCCACUUGGAUUUCACCAAAACGUCUUUAGGGUUCUCUUACCCCAAGAAACACGCAUUCCUCUUUAGUGUGGCAGCCCACUCUAUUGGCAAAGUUAAGCAGACCAGUUUUACUAAAAAGGAGCCACCCAGAAACUUAGACAGAAAAUACUUGAGGCACAGAUGAGAAUGAGCACAAAUGUGCAUAGCAAGUGCAGUUUCCUGGCCCUUAAACUGAAGGGCCAGGUCAGUCUGCUCCUCCAGGCACAGCCUGGGACCCCAUCAUGUGCCCCACUCUGCAGUCUGAGCUUCCACUCAAGUCCACCAGGGCCUGCCUCACAUAUAUAUACAAGACCCAAUGUCAGAGUCUGCCUCUGCCCAUGUCUGGUCAGAGGGUUGCACUUUGCCACUGCUACAUGUUCCCAGAGGUUGGCACAGCAUGACCUGGACCUCACCUAACCCAGGCAAACUCUGCUCAUCUUCGAGCUCUCUGGAACCCAUUUCUCAAGGGAGAACCACAUUCCCCCACCUCACAGCCAAGUUCAAGGAAGCAGCCUGGCUAAAGCAAUGACUCAAGGAUACCAGAAGCAGAGCACGCAUUUAAGAAGAUGCGCUGACUCGCAGGAGCAGCUGACUCUUCUUAAGAAGAGUUUACUGAUUCUUCUUUCAGUACGGGCCUUUUAAUAAGAUAUUGUAUUUUACUUCAGCUAUGGGUGCAGACAAUUAAAGGAUUCUAGAAAUCUGAAAGUGUUUUGCCUUGUCCUCUUGGUUAAAUUUCUGGAUAUAUUGUCUAGCAACUCAAUUUGCUUAAACAAAAUUGUUGUGUCAAAAAAGCCCAAGUCAUCUUUUAUAAGUGUGGUCUGGGGAGAAGAAAAAAAUGCUAAGUUUAAAAGAUUUUUGGAAUAUCUGAAGAAAAUACAGAUAGCUUGUAAUGGAGAUGAAGCCUCUGGAUGGUUUCCAGGGUGUUAUUUUCCGACAUUGAGUCUUGUAUAUAUCUUGAAUGUCUAUAAGCAAAGAAUGGCUAUACUGUUUUUAAAAAGAUAUGUUUUAUACUUAUUAACCAAUGUCCUCUCUAUUCCUCUGCCUUUGAAAAUAGAGCUUUGGGGGAAAAUAAGUACCUUUGGA
rnacentral:lncRNA from 1 species